AUGCCCAGUGGCGAGGCUGGUUCCGCCACAGUAGCCAACACAGUUUUUUAUGUUUUUUGUUUUAUUUUAAUUGUGGUAGCCCACAAAAUAUUGGAACAUAUAAAAAAUACAAUUCUGUUCCGCAGAGUAGCUGUUGACAUUAUAGUUGCGCAGGCACUUUGACUCUAGAGAACCUCGGGCCAAUUGCACAUCCCCAUGACAGCGACUUUGCAUUUGGAUGUCAUCCAUAUCAACUUUCGAUGCCAGUUUCUGCACCUACCAUGGUGACCACAGGUAACGGGGAAUCAGGAUUCCAUUCCAUACAGGGACCCUGAGAAAUGGCUACCACAUGCAAGGAAGGCA